UACGUAGGGUGCAAGCGUUGUCCGGAAUUAUUGGGCGUAAAGGGCUCGUAGGCGGUCUGUCACGUCGGGAGUGAAAACUCAGGGCUUAACCCUGAGCCUGCUUCCGAUACGGGCAGACUAGAGGUAUGCAGGGGAGAACGGAAUUCCUGGUGUAGCGGUGAAAUGCGCAGAUAUCAGGAGGAACACCGGUGGCGAAAGCGGUUCUCUGGGCAUUACCUGACGCUGAGGAGCGAAAGUGUGGGGAGCGGACAGG
rnacentral:rRNA from 1 species